rnacentral:rRNA from 1 species
CCUACGGGUGGCUGCAGUGGGGAAUAUUGGACAAUGGGGGGAACCCUGAUCCAGCCAUGCCGCGUGUGUGAAGAAGGCCCUCGGGUUGUAAAGCACUUUCAGUGAGGAAGAACGCCUGGUGGUUAAUACCCAUCAGGAAAGACAUCACUCACAGCAGAAGCACCGGCUAACUCCGUGCCAGCAGCCGCGGUAAUACGGAGGGUGCGAGCGUUAAUCGGAAUUACUGGGCGUAAAGCGCGCGUAGGUGGCUUGAUAAGCCGGUUGUGAAAGCCCCGGGCUCAACCUGGGAACGGCAUCCGGAACUGUCAAGCUAGAGUGCAGGAGAGGAAGGUAGAAUUCCCGGUGUAGCGGUGAAAUGCGUAGAGAUCGGGAGGAAUACCAGUGGCGAAGGCGGCCUUCUGGACUGACACUGACACUGAGGUGCGAAAGCGUGGGUAGCAAACAGGAUUAGAUACCCUUGUAGUC